AACGAACGCUGGCGGCAUGCCUAACACAUGCAAGUCGAACGAGAUCCUUCGGGGUCUAGUGGCGCACGGGUGCGUAACGCGUGGGAAUCUGCCCUUAGGUUCGGAAUAACAGUUAGAAAUGACUGCUAAUACCGGAUGAUGACGUUAAGUCCAAAGAUUUAUCGCCUGAGGAUGAGCCCGCGUAGGAUUAGCUUGUGGGUGUGGUAAAGGCGCACCAAGGCGACGAUCCUUAGCUGGUCUGAGAGGAUGAUCAGCCACACUGGGACUGAGACACGGCCCAGACUCCUACGGGAGGCAGCAGUGGGGAAUAUUGGACAAUGGGCGCAAGCCUGGUCCAGCAAUGCGGGGUGAGUGAUGAAGGCCUUAGGGUUGUAAAGCUCUUUUACCCGGGAUGAUAAUGACAGUACCGGGUGAAUAAGCCCCGGCUAACUCCGUG
rnacentral:rRNA from 1 species